rnacentral:rRNA from 1 species
GACGAACGCUGGCGGCGUGCUUAACACAUGCAAGUCGAACGAUGAAGCUGGAGCUUGCUCCGGUGGAUUAGUGGCGAACGGGUGAGUAACACGUGAGAAAUCUGCCCUUGACUCUGGGAUAACUGCGGGAAACUGUAGCUAAUACCGGAUAUUUUCCUUGGUGGGCAUCCACUGGGGAAGAAAGAAUUUCGGUCAAGGAUGAUCUCGCGGCCUAUCAGCUAGUUGGUGAGGUAAUGGCUCACCAAGGCGACGACGGGUAGCCGGCCUGAGCGGGUGACCGGCCACACUGGGACUGAGACACGGCCCAGACUCCUACGGGAGGCAGCAGUGGGGAAUAUUGCACAAUGGGCGCAAGCCUGAUGCAGCAACGCCGCGUGAGGGAUGAAGGCCUUCGGGUUGUAAACCUCUUUUAGCAGGGAAGAAGCGAAAGUGACGGUACCUGCAGAAGAAGGACCGGCCAACUACGUGCCAGCCGCCGCAGUAA